UGAAAGGGAGCGAAGCUGGCCGAGCGAACUAGACUUUUUUUCAGGGACGCUUGGCGGCCGAGAGCGAGUGUUGCGAGACAACAAAAAGCUCGACCUCAAAUCAGGUAGGAAUACCCGCUGAACUUAAGCAUAUCAAUAAGCGGAGGAAAAGAAACCAACAGGGAUUGCCUCAGUAGCGGCGAGUGAAGCGGCAAGAGCUCAGAUUUGAAAUCGUGCUUUGCGGCACGAGUUGUAGAUUGCAGGUUGGAGUCUGUGUGGAAGGCGGUGUCCAAGUCCCUUGGAACAGGGCGCCCAGGAGGGUGAGAGCCCCGUGGGAUGCCGGCGGAAGCAGUGAGGCCCUUCUGACGAGUCGAGUUGUUUGGGAAUGCAGCUCCAAGCGGGUGGUAAAUUCCAUCUAAGGCUAAAUACUGGCGAGAGACCGAUAGCGAACAAGUACUGUGAAGGAAAGAUGAAAAGCACUUUGAAAAGAGAGUGAAACAGCACGUGAAAUUGUUGAAAGGGAAGGGUAUUGCGCCCGACAUGGGGAUUGCGCACCGCUGCCUCUCGUGGGCGGCGCUCUGGGCUUUCCCUGGGCCAGCAUCGGUUCUUGCUGCAGGAGAAGGGGUUCUGGAACGUGGCUCUUCGGAGUGUUAUAGCCAGGGCCAGAUGCUGCGUGCGGGGACCGAGGACUGCGGCCGUGUAGGUCACGGAUGCUGGCAGAACGGCGCAACACCGCCCGUCUUGAAACAUGGACCAAGGAGUCUAACGUCUAUGCGAGUGUUUGGGUGUGAAACCCGUACGCGUAAUGAAAGUGAACGUAGGUCGGACCCCCUGCCCUCGGGGAGGGGAGCACGAUCGACCGAUCCCGAUGUUUAUCGGAAGGAUUUGAGUAGGAGCAUAGCUGUUGGGACCCGAAAGAUGGUGAACUAUGCCUGAAUAGGGUGAAGCCAGAGGAAACUCU
rnacentral:rRNA from 1 species